rnacentral:rRNA from 1 species
GACGAACGCUGGCGGCGUGCCUAAUACAUGCAAGUAGAACGCUGAAGAGAGGAGCUUGCUCUUCUUGGAUGAGUUGCGAACGGGUGAGUAACGCGUAGGUAACCUGCCUGGUAGCGGGGGAUAACUAUUGGAAACGAUAGCUAAUACCGCAUAAAAUUGAUUAUUGCAUGAUAAUUAAUUGAAAGAUGCAACUGCAUCACUACCAGAUGGACCUGCGUUGUAUUAGCUAGUUGGGGAGGUAACGGCUCACCAAGGCGACGAUACAUAGCCGACCUGAGAGGGUGGUCGGCCACACUGAGACUGAGACAGGCCACAAACUGCUACGGGAAGGGGCAGUAGGGAAACUUCGGGAAUGAGGGGAACCCUGAGCGGGCAGCGCCGAGUGAGUGAAGAAGGUUGUCGGAUCGUAAAGCUCGGUUGUCAGAGUAGAACGGUUUUGAGAGUGGAAAGUUCACAGUGUGACGGUAUCUGACCAGAAAGCGACGGCUAACUACGUG